AAGUCGUAACAAGGUUUCCGUAGGUGAACCUGCGGAAGGAUCAUUAAUGAGUUAGGGUCAUUCGUGGCCCGACCUCCAACCCUUUGUCGUUCAAAACCAUUGCUGCUUUGGCGGGACAGCCGCGCCUCACGGCGCGGCCGCCGGUCUUCGGCCCGGUGAGCGCCCGCCAGGGUCAAAAACUUAACUCUUGUUUUAACCGUGUCGUCUGAGUAAAAAGUUAAAUCAAUUAAAA
rnacentral:misc_RNA from 1 species